GAUGAACGCUGGCGGCGUGCCUAAUACAUGCGAGUCGAGCGAACGGACGAGAAGCUUGCUUCUCUGAUGUUAGCGGCGGACGGGUGAGUAACACGUGGAUAACCUACCUAUAAGACUGGGAUAACUUCGGGAAACCGGAGUUAAUACCGGAUGAUAUUUUGAACCGCAUGGUUCAAAAGUGAAAGACGGUCUUGCUGUCACUUAUAGAUGGAUCCGCGCUGCAUUAGCUAGUUGGUAAGGUAACGGCUUACCAAGGCAACGAUGCAUAGCCGACCUGAGAGGGUGAUCGGCCACACUGGAACUGAGACACGGUCCAGACUCCUACGGGAGGCAGCAGUAGGGAAUCUUCCGCAAUGGGCGAAAGCCUGACGGAGCAACGCCGCGUGAGUGAUGAAGGUCUUCGGAUCGUAAAACUCUGUUAUUAGGGAAGAACAUAUGUGUAAGUAACUGUGCACAUCUUGACGGUACCUAAUCAGAAAGCCACGGCUAACUACGUG
rnacentral:rRNA from 1 species